ACCACAUAUCAGUCAACUAAGGUAGGACAGACAACCACAUAUCAGUCAACUAAGGUAGGAUAGACAACCACAUAUCAGUCAACUAAGGUAGGACAGACAACCACAUUUCAGUCAACUAAGGUAGGAUAGACAACCACAUCAGUCAACUAAAGGUAGGACAGACAACCACAUACAGUCCAUUUGCUAGUCAUUUACAGAACACAUGCAUAACCGGAAGAACAGAAAGCAGGGC